GUAAGGAAUAUUGGACAAUGGACGCAAGUCUGAUCCAGCCAUGCCGCGUGAAGGAUUAAGGUCCUCUGGAUUGUAAACUUCUUUUAUAAGGGACGAAAAAAGGCUUUUCUAAGUCGUCUGACGGUACCUUAUGAAUAAGCACCGGCUAACUCCGUGCCAGCAGCCGCGGUAAUACGGAGGGUGCAAGCGUUAUCCGGAUUCACUGGGUUUAAAGGGUGCGUAGGCGGGCAGGUAAGUCAGUGGUGAAAUCCUAGAGCUUAACUCUAGAACUGCCAUUGAUACUAUCUGUCUUGAAUAUUGUGGAGGUACGCGGAAUAUGUCAUGUAGCGGUGAAAUGCUUAGAUAAGACAUAGAACACCUAUUGCGAAGGCAGCUUACUACGCAUAUAUUGACGCUGAGGCACGAAAGCGUGGGGAUCAAACAGGAUUAGAUACCCCAGUAGUCC
rnacentral:rRNA from 1 species